UACGAAGGGUGCAAGCGUUACUCGGAAUUACUGGGCGUAAAGCGUGCGUAGGUGGUUUGUUAAGUCUGAUGUGAAAGCCCUGGGCUCAACCUGGGAACUGCAUUGGAAACUGGCUUACUAGAGUGCGGUAGAGGGGUGUGGAAUUCCCGGUGUAGCAGUGAAAUGCGUAGAUAUCGGGAGGAACAUCUGUGGCGAAGGCGACACCCUGGACCAGCACUGACACUGAGGCACGAAAGCGUGGGGAGCAAACAG
rnacentral:rRNA from 1 species